rnacentral:rRNA from 1 species
GACGUAGGGUGCGAGCGUUAAUCGGAAUUACUGUGCGUAAAGCGUGCGCAGGCGGUGAUGUAAGACAGGUGUGAAAUCCCCGGGCUUAACCUGGGAACUGCAUUUGUGACUGCAUCGCUGGAGUGCGGCAGAGGGGGAUGGAAUUCCGCGUGUAGCAGUGAAAUGCGUAGAUAUGCGGAGGAACACCGAUGGCGAAGGCAAUCCCCUGGGCCUGCACUGACGCUCAUGCACGAAAGCGUGGGGAGCAAACAGG